rnacentral:lncRNA from 1 species
ACUACUCAGGCUACCUUACAGGCUAGGAUGGAUCAGAGAGACCAUCGUCACGGCAGAUCUCGUCGUCCACCUUAGGAUGGCGAAGGGACCAGUGGUCAGCAGUAGUAUGACAGGUUACUCUCCCCUUAUCUUAUUUUGAAACAUUGGGGACAAUGUUCGAUUUAAGUGUGGGAGGAGAUUUUAUCGCUUUCUAUUUUUCUUUGCUGUUUUUAGUUAGAUUGUUUAUUUUUAUUGCUUU